rnacentral:rRNA from 1 species
UUUGAUAAUUAUAACGUGAUAGAACCACCUGAAUAAAAAUAAUAUUUUAUUUAUUUUUUCCAUUCCGAACUCAGAAGUGAAAUGUCAUAGUGCCGAUGGUAGUGUAUUAAUUUAUGUGAGAGUAGGAAAUUAUCAAAU